rnacentral:rRNA from 1 species
UACGUAGGGCGCAAGCGUUGUCCGGAAUUAUUGGGCGUAAAGAGCUCGUAGGCGGUUUGUUGCGUCGGCUGUGAAAUCCCGAGGCUCAACCUCGGGUCUGCAGUCGAUACGAGCAAACUAGAGUGUUGCAGGGGAGACUGGAAUUCCUGGUGUAGCGGUGAAAUGCGCAGAUAUCAGGAGGAACACCGGUGGCGAAGGCGGGUCUCUGGGCAACAACUGACGCUGGAGGAAGCGGAAAGCGUGGGGAGCGAACAGG